UAAAACACACUCUAAAUAGUUUUAGCUAAUGUUUUCUUAGGAGUUGCUUCUCUUUUCCUCUAAUCUUAACAAAAUCUUGAAGAACUUCUUUGGGACUUUUGGUUUUUCAUAAGUCGAAAAUGGAUUGAAUGUGAAGCUGGUGUUUACUGUUGUAUGUUGCAGACUGUCAAGUUGAAGUUUUCUGGCUGAUUUCUGUUGCUCCUCAAAGAUUUUCUCACUUACUCUUUGUUGUACCCAGAUAUGUUUUGGAACCAUUGAGUGACAAAGAUGAAGUUAUAAGCAUGUGGUUUUGAAAUUAAUCUCCAAAAUGUCAAAUUUUAGUUCUUUUCCUAUGCCUAUGAUCUCUUCUAUUUCUUUAGCUUUAGAGUAUUCUUUUAC
rnacentral:lncRNA from 1 species